rnacentral:rRNA from 1 species
UACAGAGGGUGCGAGCGUUGUCCGGAAUCACUGGGCGUAAAGGGCGCGUAGGUGGCGAGAUAAGCGUGUGGUGAAAGCCCGGGGCUCAACCCCGUGUCUGCCAUGCGGACUGUCUUGCUCGAGCGUAGUAGAGGCAGGUGGAAUUCCGGGUGUAGCGGUGGAAUGCGUAGAGAUCCGGAAGAACACCGGUGGCGAAGGCGGCCUGGUGGGCUACUGCUGACACUGAUGCGCGACAGCGUGGGGAGCAAACAGG